AACAAACGCUGGCGGCGUGCCUAAUACAUGCAAGUCGAACGGGGUAGCAAUACCUAGUGGCGCACGGGUGAGUAACGCGUGGAUAAUCUGCCUUAGAGUGGGGGAUAACUAGUCGAAAGAUUAGCUAAUACCGCAUAAGACCACAAGAACUGCGGUUCAAGGGGUCAAAGGUUUUUCGCUCUAAGAUGAGUCCGCGUAAGAUUAGCUAGUUGGUGAGGUAAUGGCUCACCAAGGCGACGAUCUUUAACUGGUCUGAGAGGAUGAUCAGUCACACUGGAACUGAGACACGGUCCAGACUCCUACGGGAGGCAGCAGUAGGGAAUAUUGCACAAGGGAGGAAACUCUGAUGCAGCGACGCCGCGUGAGUGAUGAAGGCCUUCGGGUCGUAAAGCUCUGUCGCAGGGGAAUAACACAAUGAAUGUACCCUAUAAGAAAGGAUCGGCUAACUUCGUGCCAGCCGCCGCAGUAAGAC
rnacentral:rRNA from 1 species